CCAAUAGCGUAUAUUAAAGUUGUUGCAGUUAAAAAGCUCGUAGUUGAAUUUCGGGGUCGGUAGGUUGGUCAUGCCAUCGGUAUGCACUGGUCUCACCGAUUCCUCCCUCUUGUAGAAGCGUAAUGCCAUUAAGUUGGUGUUGCGGGGAAACAGGACUGUUACUUUGAAAAAAUUAGAGUGUUUAAAGCAGGCUAACGCUUGAAUACAUUAGCAUGGAAUAAUGAAAUAGGACGUCGAUCCUAUUUUGUUGGUUUCUAGGGUUGACGUAAUGAUUAAUAGGGAUAGUUGGGGGCAUUAGUAUUCAAUUGUCAGAGGUGAAAUUCUUGGAUUUAUUGAAGACUAACUACUGCGAAAGCAUUUGCCAAGGAUGUUUUCAUUAAUCAAGAACGAAAGUUAGGGGAUCGAAGACGAUCAGAUACCGUCAUAGUCUUAACCAUAAACUAUGCCGACUAGGGAUCGGAUGAUGUUAAUUUUUUAAUGACUCAUUCGGCGCCUUACG
rnacentral:rRNA from 1 species